rnacentral:rRNA from 1 species
CAGCACCUCAAGUGGUCAGGAUGAUUAUUGGGCCUAAAGCAUCCGUAGCCGGCUCUGUAAGUUUUCGGUUAAAUCUGUACGCUCAACGUACAGGCUGCCGGGAAUACUGCAGAGCUAGGGAGUGGGAGAGGUAGACGGUACUCGGUAGGAAGGGGUAAAAUCCUUUGAUCUAUUGAUGACCACCUGUGGCGAAGGCGGUCUACCAGAACACGUCCGACGGUGAGGGAUGAAAGCUGGGGGAGCAAUCCGGAUUAGAUACCCGCGUAGUCC